GACAAAGAGCAAUAAUGAAGCAGACAAGAAGCAAUAAUGGAGCAGACAAAGAGCAAUAAUGGAGCAGAUACGACAAAAUCAAUGGAGACAAGAUACUGUACAAAAACAGAAUUAUUGUACAAUAUGUAACAAAAGUCUUACUUGUAAUAGUAGAACAUUAAUUAGGAUGUAGAAAAACUUUACGUAAAAGUUAGAAUAGUU
rnacentral:lncRNA from 1 species